AAGGUUUUGGCAUGGCAGGAAUGGAUAGCCAUGGUCGGCACUCGGGACAGUAAUUAAAGGGGUGGGUGGCAUGUGAUCAAAGUUAAAAAAAAUGUUAAGGAGAAAAGUAAACAGACAAACAAAUCCCAGAGGAAAAGAUUAAGUUAUGGCUCUCUGACCACAAGAUGUAUAUCUUGGUUGCCAAGCCAUGCACUGGCGGAUCUACAGAGGCGCAAGGAGGUCGCCGGAAAAAGCUUUGAAGUCGCCGGAGUUUGCCCCUCAGCUCUACCUUGGAGGUGCCCACCACCUGUUCGAAUAAAUGCCUCAGCAACCCAGCGACCAUCCUUUUCUUUGUUGCGAUGCUGCACUGAGUGCAGUGCGUGUUCUGUUUUUUAAGUCCUGGCCAAA